UGUGUGUGACAUGCUGCUACCGCGCCGGCUCCUUUCCCCUAGCUGAGGAGGUACCUGAAACCAAAACUGAAACUGUAAGCACAAAGCUUAGUGAGUUCCCCCAUAAUACCCCAUACCAUGCAACAUAUAACAACCAAUGUUCAGCUAGGAGUUACGGGCCUUGCCCACACUCGGGAAGAUACGGGCCCUGCCCACACUUCGCUAGCCGGGAGAUACGGGCCUCGCCCACACUUGUGAAGAUACGGGCCCUGCCCACACUUCGCUAUCUGGGAGAUACGGGCCUAGCCCACACUCCAACCUCGGAGAGAUACAGGCCCUGCCCACACUCAACCGCUAACCCAUAACAUACAAGUAUCACGCAGACAACAAGUAUAAGCAACUCUAUCAUAUUAACACAUAUAUCAUACUUGACUAAACCCAGAGAUACGGGCUCGGCCCACACUCUAGUACUAGCAUCUCGUCUACACGGGUCGGCCUUGGUGCCUUAGACCCGUUCCUACUGGAAAGGAAACUCACCUCGAAAUAGCUGCUGGUCUGUGUGGGAAUUGAUCACCUACUACUGCUGCUGCUGCUCCGGAAACCCUCC
rnacentral:lncRNA from 1 species